UAAUCUUAUGUGAAUAGCGAA
ensembl:piRNA 21ur-12513 ncRNA